AAUGGUUCAUGGUGUAGUCCUAGGGGGAUCCUGGUAAGCCGAUGCACCAAUCCCUCAGAAGAUAAGACAGUACAGUGGUCAGGAGUGAGCUCUGCCUCCCUAGAGCUGCGUGUGUGCAAUGUCGUAGCCCUGUUUCCUCCCAGAUGCCUGCAUGAUCAAAUUAUGGCAGGUAAGAGCAGCCUGAACCAAGCUCCAGAAAUGAUUAAAUCAAAUUGUCAGCUCUCCGGCAGGAUGGUGGGCGCUAUGAGAUGGCAUCACUGAUGGCUAGAUUCCCCUCUUACUUGGUCACUGCAUUUUCUCCAAACUCAAACUCAUGAUUG